rnacentral:rRNA from 1 species
GCCUACGGGGGGCAGCAGUGAGGAAUAUUGGUCAAUGGGCGCGAGCCUGAACCAGCCAAGUCGCGUGAGGGAAGACGGUCCUAUGGAUUGUAAACCUCUUUUGUCGGGGAGCAAAAGACGCCACGUGUGGCGUUCCGAGAGUACCCGAAGAAAGAGCAUCGGCUAACUCCGUGCCAGCAGCCGCGGUAAUACGGAGGAUGCGAGCGUUAUCCGGAUUUAUUGGGUUUAAAGGGUGCGCAGGCGGAAGAUCAAGUCAGCGGUAAAAUUGAGAGGCUCAACCCCGUACUGCCGUUGAAACUGCAUCC